rnacentral:lncRNA from 10 species
AUGAGUCAAGACUUUGGGGCACUGUUGGGAAGCCAUGAUAGUGUUUUGAAAUGUGAGAAGGACAUGAGAUUUGGGAGGGGCCAAGGUCAAAAUGAUAUGGUUUGACUCUUUGUCUCCACCCAAAUGUCAGGUGGAAUUUUAGUUCCUACUGCUGGAAGAGAGACCUAGUGGGAGGUGAUUGGAUCAUGGGGGAAGACUUCCCCCUUGCUGUUCUCAUGAUAGUGAGUGAGUACUCACAAGAUCUGGUUGUUUGAAAACGUGUAGCACUUCCCCCUUCUCUCUCUCGCUCUCUCUCCUGUCACCAUGUGAAGAUGUACCUGCAUCUCCUUCACCUUCUGCAUGACUGUAAGUUUCCUGAGGUCUUCCCAGCCAUGCUUCCUGUACAGCCUGCAGAACUCUUAGAACUUGUAAACUGCUAUCAGCAAAGGAAACAUGCCAUCAACAAAGGAAAAAAAAAGAAUGAGACAUUUUAAUAAGUGUAAAGUCUCACUGAGGAAAAGUUUCUGGAACUAGAAAAGGAGAAAUUAAGAGAUGGGAACAUUUUGAGAUGCAGUUCUCAGGAUAUAUGUAAAUCUGGAGUUGGAGGAAAUCAAAGCACGGAAAUGGAAUCAGGGACAUUAUACACUGUCGCUUAAAGGCACGUUCUCUGCCAUUGUAUUACCUGUGGUGCAAAUCCUGCUUCUGCCAGUGAUGUCCUUGGCAAAUUACCUGACCCCUCUAUGCUUUAGUUUUCUGUAUCUUUAUAUAGAAAUAAUAACAAUAAUACCCAUCUAUUAAGGUUGUUGUAAGAAUUAAAUGAGUUAAUACAUAUAUAAGGCUUAGGAUAGUGUCUGAUAUGUAAUAAUAUGUAACCUUAGAUCCUCCCUAAUUACUUUUAUGUUUUUUAUUAUAUCUCUAUUAAAAUGUUUAAUGAACAUAAAGUUUAAAUGAUUUUGUACUCAGGGGGACAUAAACUUGCACUGUUUUUGCACGAGAUGCUGUACAUAACAGAGUUUCUAGCACCUUAGAGUUUGUAAAGUGUAGAAUGAGUAGCAUUCUCUGAGUCUAGGUUAGUACUUUGAUGUUUAGAUGUAUUGAAACUGAUGCUUCGCAUAUUUAUUUCUUUAAAACAUAAACUGACUAAAGUCUACAUGUUCAUGUGCAGGUAAUAUGGCCAAUAUGGGCUUCAAUUAGCUAAACCAAUCUCAGUCACAUUCCUCUAUUUGGCUGGGCAGAAAUGGUUUAGGAUUAAAAUACUUGACUAUUUGAGUUAAAUACAUCCAGCCUGAUCAUCAGGUGCCACACCAUAAAUUAUUCCUUUCAAAGCCCUUUUUGGUACUUGGAUUAAGUAAUUAUCCUACCUGCCUAAGUGCUUUACAAAGUGGGUUGCUUUUGCUAACCUAGGCUCUCCCAAGUUUUCAUAAUACCAUUAUUACUUUAACAUACCAUUCCAUUAUUGCCAUGAGACAAUCCUGUAAGGUAAACAUUACCAAAUUUCACUCAUUGGUCAGAUUAUUUAAUUCCCAGACAAGGUUUUCACUGGUUCUUAAAGUUUGUUAUAGUGGAAUUUGGGUCAUCCUAAUGUCAUGUAGCAUGUUCUAAAGGGAUUAAAUGGGACACAAAGGGAGACAGAGGCAUAUUUAAAAAUGUCUAAAUAUGAGUAACAAUUCUGUCACUGGUAGGUUAAAUUAUUAAUAAUUGUAGAGAAAAUAAUGUUUGUCUAUUAUGAGAUAAUAAACUACUAUAUUGC